GUGUAGCUAACGCGUUAAGCACUCCGCCUGGGGACUACGGUCGCAAGACUAAAACUCAAAGGAAUUGACGGGGACCCGCACAAGCGGUGGAGCAUGUGGUUUAAUUCGAUGCAACGCGAAAAACCUUACCACUUCUUGACAUGGAGGCUAGAUCCUUCUUAACAGAAGGGCGCAGUUCGGCUGGGCCUCGCACAGGUGCUGCAUGGCUGUCGUCAGCUCGUGUCGUGAGAUGUUGGGUUAAGUCCCGCAACGAGCGCAACCCUCAUCCUUAGUUACCAGCGGGUAAUGCCGGGCACUUUAAGGAAACUGCCAGUGAUAAACUGGAGGAAGGUGGGGAUGAUGUCAAGUCAGCACGGCCCUUAUGGGGUGGGCUACACACGUGCUACAAUGGCGACUACAAUAGGUUGCAAUGUCGCAAGA
rnacentral:rRNA from 1 species